ensembl:lncRNA EDRF1-DT EDRF1 divergent transcript
ACGUGAAUUAGUGAGAGGUUCAAACUUCUUCCCCAGGCUUCAGUGUCACAUCUUUUCACACGGGCACCCCGAGGGCCCGGACUGGAAAGGUUCCCAGGAAACGAUGCCAGCGCUUUGAGUAGCGAAGAGGUGGAGAAAUAGCCCGGGCCGUUUGCAAGCUUUGAAGGUCCAGGCUCUCUUUCACACUCCUCAGUGUCAUCUCAAACUGUCAAACGCAGCCACAUCCGUUAUACAAUACAUGUUUUGUAGUAAAAGUGUUUUGUUGUGCCGUAAGAUACAGAAAGUGUUUUUAAAAAUUAA